GGUUGAUCCUGCCAGUAGUCAUAUGCUUGUCUCAAAGAUUAAGCCAUGCAUGUCUCAGUGUAAACUUUUAAACAGUGAAACUGCGAAUGGCUCAUUAAAACAGUUAUAGUUUAUUUGAUACUCAUUCUUACAUGGAUAACCGUGGGAAUUCUAGGGCUAAUACAUGCGUAAACCCGCAAGGGAUGUGUUUAUUAGAUUAAAACCAUCGCAGUGGCAACACUGUUACAAUGGAAUAAUAAUAACCGAACGAAUCGCACGCUUUUUGUGGCGAUAAAUCAUUCAAGUUUCUGAC
rnacentral:rRNA from 1 species